rnacentral:rRNA from 1 species
UACGGAGGGUGCAAGCGUUAAUCGGAAUUACUGGCCGUAAAGCGUGCGCAGGCGGUUUGUUAAGUCUGUUGUGAAAUCCCCGAGCUCAACUUGGGAAUUGCAAUGGAUACUGGCAGGCUGGAGUAUGGUAGAGGAAGGUGGAAUUCCCGGUGUAGCAGUGAAAUGCGUAGAGAUCGGGAGGAACACCAGUGGCGAAGGCGGCCUUCUGGACAAAUACUGACGCUCAUGCACGAAAGCGUGGGGAGCAAACAGG